rnacentral:lncRNA from 1 species
CAUGGCUCACGGGUGUUUUUUUAGACAGCUCGCGAACGGAUGGCUUCAAAAGCUCUUGGGCAUGAUCUAGGUCCUGAUCUAACGGUCGGAAAGCAAGCGGGCAUGAUCUGAGGCUUUGUUUGUGCAAUCCAAUGGUUGGAGAUGCGAGCGGUGAAGAUUCAAAGGCUGAGAGGUUUUCUUAGAUUUAAUCAGAGUGCAUCUCUGAUCAAGGCUCAAAUUCUGAGCUUUAAAAGACCCUGUGGUGAAUGAUGGCCUUAUGGUGUAGUUCGGCAGAGAUCCUGUAUGCAGCGAACAGAGAGG